rnacentral:tRNA from 1 species
GGGUCGGUAGCUCAGCGGUAGAGCAGUCGGCUUUUAACCGACUGGUCCAGGGUUCGAAUCCCUGCCGACCCA